GGACGUAUAGCUCAGAUGGUUAGAGCGCGUGCUUAACACGUUAUUACCGCACGAGGUCGGCGGUUCGAUCCCGCCUGUGUUCA
rnacentral:tRNA from 1 species